rnacentral:rRNA from 1 species
UACGUAGGGUGCAAGCGUUAAUCGGAAUUACUGGGCGUAAAGCGUGCGCAGGCGGUGAUGUAAGACAGGUGUGAAAUCCCCGGGCUUAACCUGGGAACUGCAUUUGUGACUGCAUCGCUGGAGUGCGGCAGAGGGGGAUGGAAUUCCGCGUGUAGCAGUGAAAUGCGUAGAUAUGCGGAGGAACACCGAUGGCGAAGGCAAUCCCCUGGGCCUGCACUGACGCUCAUGCACGAAAGCGUGGGGAGCAAACAAGG